UAUUUUAUUAUUUUUAAUUAUUUUAGUUCCAUAUUUCUAAAUAAUCACAACUCUUCCUAUUUUCUCUUAUUAUUCUAUUUUAUUUAAUUAAAUCUCCAAUAAUAACACAUAUUAAAUCACAAGGCACACCCAAAAUUCAAUUAAAAUUCUAAUAGUUCUAAUAAAAUUUCUGAGGUGUUACAGUCUGCCUCAAUGUUGAAAAUU
rnacentral:lncRNA from 1 species